GAUAGCCCUUCCUUCAAGUCAUUCUAUGCCUCCCUAUUCUAUCACGCAAUCUUUAUAGUCAUCAACGGCCACCAACCCUUUACUUUGUCAAAAGACCAACUUGCCUGGCAAGGUGAUUUAGUUAGGAGCGUGAUGAUUGCCACUGUAAUAAUGAGAUUAGAGACGCGUACGCUAGGAAAAUUAGGAGUGGAGUCCAACCGCAGGCUGCCAAACUUCCUUUGAUGACAUGACACAUAUGACCCACCAAACCAUGUGUAAGCAUUCUGGUAAUUGGGUCCCUCAAUUUGGUGAAACCGAAGUUGAUCUCAAAAAGAAUGUACCAUUCUGACAUAUUCUGAUCACAAUCCCAGUUUUUU
rnacentral:misc_RNA from 1 species